GGGCUGGCUUUAGCCCAGCGGUUCCUUCGAGUCUGGCUUCCCAACAGCCCAGGCCGACUGGUCCAGACCUGCGGGCGCUCUCCAGUCCUUUA
ensembl:misc_RNA Vault Vault RNA